rnacentral:rRNA from 1 species
AGAGUUUGAUCCUGGCUCAGGAUGAACGCUAGCGGCAGGCUUAAUACAUGCAAGUUGAGGGGCAGCAUGAUAUACGCGAGUAUAUUGAUGGCGACCGGCGGACGGGUGAGUAAUAGGUAGGAGACCUACCUCAUACAGGGGGAUAGCAUAGAGAAAUCUGUGGUAAUACCCCAUGAGGUUAUAUGAAUAGAGGCAUAUAAUCAAAGCAUAAGCGAUUAUGCGGUAUGAGAGGGGCCUACUGACCAUUAGCUAGUUGGUGAGGUAAGGGCUCACCAAGGCGAAGAUGGUUAGGGGUUUUGAGAGAGAGACCCCCCACAUUGGAACUGAGAGACGGUCCAGACUCCUACGGGAGGCAGCAGUAGGGAAUAUUGGGCAAUGGGCGAAAGCCUGACCCAGCCAUGCCGCGUGAAGGAAGACGGCCUUAUGGGUUGUAAACUUCUUUACUACGCGAAUAGAGGUUAGUACGAGAUACUAAUAGGAAGGUAGUGUAGUAAAAAGCACCGGCUAACUCCGUGCCAGCAGCCGCGGUAA